rnacentral:tRNA from 1 species
GGGAAGAAAGCAUAAAUAUGCGAUUAACUUGAAAUUAAUAGAUGGCAGCUCAAUCCUGUCUUUUCUCG